rnacentral:rRNA from 1 species
AGUGAACGCUGGCGGUAGGCCUAGCACAUGCAAGUCGAACGGCAGCACAGGAGAGCUUGCUCUCUGGGUGGCGAGUGGCGGACGGGUGAGGAAUACAUCGGAAUCUACUUUUUCGUGGGGGAUAACGAAGGGAAACUUACGCUAAUACCGCAUACGACCUACGGGUGAAAGCAGGGGAUCUUCGGACAUUGCGCGGUUGAAUCAGCCGAUGUCGGAUUAGCUAGUUGGCGGGGUAAAGGCCCACCUAGGCGACGAUCCGUAGCUGGUCUGAGAGGAUGAUCAGCCACACUGGAACUGAGACACGGUCCAGACUCCUACGGGAGGCAGCAGUGGGGAAUAUUGGACAAUGGACGCAAGCCUGAUCCAGCCAUACCGCGUGGGUGAAGAAGGCCUUCGGGUUGUAAAGCCCUUUUGUUGGGAAAGAAAUCCAGCUGGUUAAUACCCGGUUGGGAUGACGGUACCCAAAGAAUAAGCACCGGCUAACUUCGUGCCAGCAGCCGCAGUAA